CCUUCGAAACUCUUUCCGUCAAAACCCCUUUCUCAGUCCCUCGUUCUUCGUCUCCCUUUCUCAUUCCCUCGCUCUCCGGGUUUGCACGUGACGAUUCCGACAGAGAAGAGGAGGCAGUGGCACAGGUUCAAAGGGGUUCUAAUGGCGGACGCGGAAAGGAUUUCGGGGGCUGUUGGAUUUGGGCAGUGGCCUGACCUGAUGGGUUUGAGGGGACUACAAUGAGGGUGGAUCCUGCUUGAUCGGAUUGCAAUGGGCGACAUCAAUGGUCGAAGGUUUGGAUGAGGACAGGUUUUCAUCGGUUGCGACCAAGGAGAGAUGGGUUUGCAUUUUUCAAUGAGGGGACGGUGGUGGGUUUCAUGAGCAGAGAUGAUAGGUCUGAGUUGAUGCCGGAUCUGUAACACUGGCAGAUCAGAGAUGGUGACGGAUCUGAGCAUAUGUCGGGUCUGGGUCAUGUCGGAUUUGGUAAGUGAAGAUGGAGACCCGAGCUCGAGCAGUGCCAUUACUUCAGAAGGUGAUGUCAGUGGCUAUCAACAUGCUGCUAUAUCUACAUGGUAUUUGGUCUAUCAAGUUCGUCCAAUGUUCCAUAAGGCAUUUGUCCACCAUCGGUGAGGAUCUGCAGGUUUCUUUGCUAGAGUAUAUAAAAAGAGUUUCAGGGGACUUGCUCUUGAAGAGAAAGUUCAUUUCAUCUAUUGCGACUAUGAAGAAAGUAUUUGAUCAGAUUGUUAGGGACCUGGUGCUUCAAGUUGACUACUUGUGAAUCAAAUACUGCAAAUCAAAAUAUCCAUGCAUAUGGUAUCAUGCUUAUUGUAAGGGCAUUUUGCUUCUCUUGCAGGUAGAUGGUCCUGAAUGAAUACAUACUCCUGAGAUUCUGACUAUCAACGAGCAAUUUGAAAUGAACAGCAACCGGCAGGUGGAGGUCCAUUACAUAGAUACUGGAUUUCCUUUCACCAUCACUGAGAGUUUCCUGGAAUUGUUUGAAGGCCUUAGAUAUAUUCAAGCGGAUUUUGCUCUUGCAGGAGCCUUGCAGGAUCAGGAAAAUGCAUAUUGGUCGAUGCAUACGAGUCCAUACGAGUAUGGACUGUCUCGUUCAGGCGGUUCUCCAUAUUAUAGUCAUACAAACUAGAAGAAAUGCUCUUGGACAUGGAGACCAUGGAUAUUCUAGGGCAGCAGGCCUUGUUAAAAACACCUGUAAAACCCAAUGUCAGGGCGUUUGUCAAUUCCAAAAAUGAAGGCCUUAGGAAGGGCAAUUUCUAUAGGUGCCACAAAGUGCAACUCCUGCUACCAAGAAUAAUGCAUUAUCCGAUAGCAAGUUGAGGGCAUUCCAGGUUCAGAGACAGCAUGUAUGUGCUCACUAGUAUCAGCAUUCAUCUAAUCUGUGUAAUUUAUUAGUUUCAAAAAGGAAAAAAAAAUAAAAAUAAAUCUGUGUAAUUUAUUAUGAGCUUCAUGCCUUCCCUUUUGAGAGGAGUCUAAUUCAAUUCGGCCAAUGUGAUGAUCCUCUUUUGUCAUAGGAGAGCUUAGAUGCUCUUAUGAAAUGUGUGGUCCAAAAUAUUGGUUCAGUCUGAUUGGGGUUUUUAUUUGUUAUUGAUUUACUUUUGGUCAUAGCCUGACGGAAAUUUU